UGGGGAAGCGCAGACAUGGAGGAGUUCCGGUGUGAGUACUUCCGCGGGGAGUUGAAAAGAGCCGGUCUGCUUACGCUCUUUUCUGAGUGUUUUCUAGUUGUGGAGGUUGGUGUAGCGUGGGCGGGCGGUAGGUUGGGAGGAAGGUAAAUAAAGGACAAGGAGUGUCAGGGUUUUCUGCUGCUUCGGUCGCCUCCCCAACCUCCUACCUUCAAACCGAUCUUCCUCUGAGAUUCCCGCUUCCAGAUCAGCUUUUCUCUGUUUUCUGAGGAUGCUGCGUCCCCUGGAGCUCCCUCACAUGGCUUGCUCUCUCUUGCUGCUGAGAACUCUUCCACCACCUUGUGAAAAACUCCUGGCUAACCUGAUGAAUGAUGAAAGACAUGUGGUCAUCACCCCAACUAACAUCUAAGCAACUGCCAGACAUAUGAGUGUGGCUCCAUAGACCAACUAGCCUGCCAACCAUCAGACAUGUGAGCCAGGCCAUUGUAGACCAUCUAGGCCCAGCUUUGUUGGCCGAGACCAGAAGAAGCCCAUCGACAAACCCAUAGACCAGUGAAAAAUUAGGUUUAUUGUUUUAAAGUUAAACCAAUAAGUUUUGAGGUGCUUUGUUUUGCAAUGAAAGAUAACUGAUACCCAAGGCAUUUCUUUGCAUCUAUCAGGUUGGAUUUACUUGGUGUAAUUCUUAGAGCUGAAGAAGAGAGUCACCGUGUAUCAUCUUCACAUAGCUGGCCCAUGUUACCUUAGGUUCUCCCAUCACAUUUCUUAGUGUUUUGCUUAAAUAUAGCAGGGAUAAUCUUACAUCAUGUCUCUUUUAUUUCAACUGUUCAAUAAAGGUGAUAUCAUUUG